ensembl:lncRNA
CGCCGUGGGUUGAUGCAUUUAGUCAGAGUUUGCUAGGGAGUAGAUGUACUACGGGAUGUACACAUAAUUUAUAGGGUUAUCUUGUAGUAGUCACCUCACAAGUCAAAUGCAGAGGAGGGCGAGAUCUGUCUGUGCGCUAGAGACCCGAAGAAUCCAGCCGAGGGCCUGGAUCCCUCAGCAGUGUCGCCCACGAGUACAGCCGCAGGCCUAGAGCCCACGGCAAUGUCUCCUGCAAGUUCUAUCAGGAGGACGAGGAAUCCACCGUGGAAGACCUACAGGUCUGCGCCGGGAAAGCCCAAGGGCUGGCGCUGGAAGCUAGAGAAUCUGCCUGGAGCUAGGAAGCUACGCUCAAGACGAAAGAGAACGGCAGCACAAAGAGAAGAGCAGCCGUCCAUGGCAACAGCGAGAACCUAAGUUCCUCUUCCUAGGAGAAAUCAAGUUCAUAUCAGGAAAAGCAAGUUUCUCCUGGGAAAUCAGCAUCAUGAACACACCCCCCCCCCGACUCUAGUUCUCCUUUUAUGCCUUCCGACAACAGUCCUCACCUGGGUCUUCCACACCCAAAGCCUCGCAGACUCAGCUCAGCUGGACAAUUCCCCACAGACUGACCACUCACCCACCCGCCGCAGGUGGGCACCGUCUCCCCCGCCGCGCCCCCUGCCGUCAGCUCUCUGGCUUGGACCCAGCUCUGACCACAGGCUGCAACUGUGAGCCGAAACAAACCUCUCCUUUAAGGUGCGGGUGUUGGGUAUUGUGUCUCAGUGAAAGGAAAGUGCCGUAGACUCUGAGUGGAGGAGAAAGAAUGUGGAAUGAGGUGCUCUGGAUCACUGUGCAGUUGAAAGCGUUUCAACAAAGCUGGGAAGGAGUCCUCAAAGCCAAGGCAGCCCUCAGAGGACCGGUGUGCUGCACUGUGACUGGCUGGAAGCGACCCCAGGAACAGCGCCUCCCAGCAGUGGAUUUCAGAGCACCUCAGCUGCAACCCUUGCUCAAGUGCGUUUCUUACAAUUAGAAGUGUGUGAGCUCAGUUUGCGUCAAUAGACUGAAGAGAAAUGCAGAGUACACGGUAAUGCAUUGUAUAUUGAUUGCUUUGAUCAGUAAUAAGACAUAAUCCAACGUGUCUGGCAUUGAGAAGGAAGAAGCAUGACUGGCGGUUCCUUAAUCUUCCUCCCCACCUCUCGGCCCCCAGCAUUAAGAUUCGGAGAAGCACUGAAUUUACAUUUGCUUAUUCUCUUUCACUCCUUUUUACCUUCACUCUGUUACUGUCAAGUUUUAUUUUCUGAUACUCCCGAACACCGACCCAGGCUCCUCUCAGCCACCAAGCAUACCAUACACGUUGCUACAGCCUGGGAGAAAACUUGGAUGAAGACAUCAGGAUGUACGUACCAUGAAAAUACCAUCAGCAAGGAAAUGAGAGAGACCUCAGAAAAAAAAAAGAUGCCAAAACCAUGAUCUUAGAUUUAAAGUCUUCAGAACUGUGAGAAAAUAAAUUUCUGUUAUUUAAGCCACCCAGAGUGCGGUAUUUUGUUACAGCAGCCCUAGCACACUAAUAUAGGUAGGAUGUUGUAUUAGAGGGCUUUGUAUACUAGAGUUAAAGAUGAAAAUGUAUCUAAAAAUAAAAAGGGUUGAAGCUGGGCAUGGUGGCACACCCCUGUAAUCCCAGCACUCGGGAGGCUGAGGCAGGAGAAUCACCUUGAGUUCGAGGCCAGUCUGGGCUACAAAGGGAGACCCUUCCUCAAAAAACAAAAACAAAACAAAAGAAAAUAAAUAAAUAAAUUAAAAGGGUUGGGAAGAACUGUCAAGAUCACCAAAAAUGAAGAAAGUUAGGAACUAUUAGCACCAACCAAGAGAGAUUAUGUAAAGGUGCAAAAUUUCCAAUGAUGAAUGUCAUUGUAUUGUUUACCUAAAA